GAAACACGCUUUUAUUUUGACAUGCGCCCAUCUCCCCACAUCUCACGACUCACGGUCGGAGUCGAGCUUCACAGAGCAGCGCAACAGGAAGACGACAUAACAGACAUGAAGCAUUAACAGUUUAGUUUGAAUCUCUCUGUCAGUCAGGGGGGAGAUUAACUGACAAACUGUCUAACGUUAAACACCACCAAACAGUCAUUUACCCAGAAACCUUUUUAAGUUUAGCACAAACGUUUCCAGCGCAAGUUUGAAUCUCUCAGUCAGUCAGGGGGAGAUUGACUGACAUACUGUCUACUCACCACCAAACAGUCAUUUACCCUGAAACCUUCUAAAGUAAGGACUCAUAUUAACUGACUGUCUGUCUGUCUGCUCUCAACCAAACAGUCAUUCAAGACCUUUUAAAGUAAGGACUAACGCAAACUGACUGUCUGUCUGCUCUCAUCCAAACAGUCAUUCAAGACCUUUUAAAGUUUAGCGCAAACGUUUCCUGCGCAAGUUUGAAUCUCUCUCAGUGAGGGGGGAGAUUGACUGACUAACUGUCUAAUCGCCACCAAACAGUCAUUUACCCAGAAACCUUUUAAAGUUUAGCGCACAAGUUUCCAGCACAAGUUUGGAUCUUUACCAUUGAGGAGACUGGCUGACUGUUCUCGACCAACCAUCAUUCACACGCAAAAACUUUAAAGGAACCACAUUUAUUUAUGUUGUGAGUAUACCACAGUUCUGUCAUUGGAAAAUGUAUUUAUAUUUUUAUGUUUUCUCACAGAUAAGUAUGAACGUGCCCAGAGCAGUUUUCGAUCUUUACCAUUAAGGAGGCUGACUGACUAUCCUCUACCACCCGUUAUUAACACAACAAAAACUAAAGAAAUGUUACUCCAUAUGGACCUAUUCAUUUACUCAUUAUGCUAUGAGUACACCACAGUUCUAUCAGUGAAAAAAAAAAUAUUUGUGUGUUUUCUCACUGCUUGGCAAGGACAGAUGUGGUCUGUUAAAAAUGUUUAAAUGUUGUUUGGUUUAAGGAACAGCACACUGAUUUUGUUUUAAAAUAUUCCUGUUUGGACAGUCUGUUAAAGCAACACUAUGUAGUUUUUUUUACCUUUUAAAUAAUGUCUCUAAAAUUAUUUCAGUGAUAAAACAACUUUUAACUGGACAAAUUGUACUGUUGCUGCAACCUGAGCAGUCUCCUAGCUGCUACAAGCACACUCUGAAAGUGGCGGUGGAGGGUAGGAAACACAGCCCCGCCCCUCCCCCUGCCUGCAGAAGAGUGUCUGAUACCAGGCACUGUUGCGCUUUUCAACCACAGGGGGGAGCUGUAAGUCAUUUUUACAUGGAAACUACAUAGUGUUGCUUUAAAGUCAUAAAGGAAUGGUUGAUAUAUUUCAUAAGUAAAGUGUAAAUGUAAUAUUAGUUUUUAAUGUUGUGAAUU